GGCAGCAUGGUUUAGUGGUUUCAGUAUUGGACCACAACUCUGGAGAUCAGGGUUCAAUUCCCUGCUUGACCA